UAUAAAAGCAGAAGAGCCAACCCUCUUCUCUCUCUUUCUCUGAGAAUCCCCUAGUAGGAGGAAGAAAUGGCGUCCGCAGUCUUGCUUGCCGCCUUCCCCGGCUCACCCAGCGUGGACCCGUACGCAGGAGGCAGGUGUGAGGCAUGGCUGCAGCUGCAGGAGCAGAGGACGCAUGCAGGUGCUGGACCUGGCUGAGGAGGAGUGUGGGAUCACUGGAUGAAGACUGACAGACCAGAAGCAAAGCCUCGGCUGGCAUCCGGAUUAACUGGGAAAUGAGCUACACUCGCCCUUUGAAGGUAUGCACUGAACACAAAGUUUACACAUUGUUGGUUCUGAUCCAUGAUGACCUUUUUGAAAUGAGACGGACUGCUGGAUGAAGCUUGCGGAUAUGGGACUGAGAUCAGGCCUGAUGGGCUGUGGAGAUGAGGCCUCUAGUCUACUCUAGAUUAAAAGUGGAUCUUUGUGUUUCAGGUGCUGGUGUGAGACGCUCCGUGGUGACCAGCUGCAGGGCCAGGCAUGUCCAAGGAUCCAGAAAAGUUCUCCGGCUAACUGGUUCUUUGUGGAAAUGUAUUGUGCCAAAGAUGCUGUGAUUGGCUGUGCCAACACCGUUUCAGGAGAUGUUGCAACAGAAUGAAAGGAUUAAAUGUAAACUGUGGGUCUGGAAUAAAAAUCUUGAAAU